rnacentral:rRNA from 1 species
CCCUUAGACGUUCUGGGCCGCACGCGCGCUACACUGACGGAGCCAGCGAGUAUAAACCUUGGUCGAGAGGUCUGGGAAAUCUUGUGAAACUCCGUCGUGCUGGGGAUAGAGCAUUGUAAUUAUUGCUCUUCAACGAGGAAUUCCUAGUAAGCGCAAGUCAUCAGCUUGCGUUGAUUACGUCCCUGCCCUUUGUACACACCGCCCGUCGCUACUACCGAUUGAAUGGCUUAGUGAGGCUUCCGGAUUGGUUUAGAGAAGGGGGCAACUCCAUCUUGGAACCGAGAAGCUAGUCAAACUUGGUCAUUUAGAGGAAGUAAAAGUCGUAACA